AUUGAACGCUGGCGGAAUGCUUUACACAUGCAAGUCGAACGGCAGCACGGGGGCAACCCUGGUGGCGAGUGGCGAACGGGUGAGUAAUUCAUCGGAACGUGCCCGGUCGUGGGGGAUAACGUAGCGAAAGUUACGCUAAUACCGCAUACGAUCUGAGGAUGAAAGCGGGGGACCUUCGGGCCUCGCGCGAUCGGAGCGGCCGAUGUCAGAUUAGGUAGUUGGUGGGGUAAAGGCCUACCAAGCCGACGAUCUGUAGCUGGUCUGAGAGGACGACCAGCCACACUGGGACUGAGACACGGCCCAGACUCCUACGGGAGGCAGCAGUGGGGAAUUUUGGACAAUGGGCGCAAGCCUGAUCCAGCCAUUCCGCGUGCAGGACGAAGGCCUUCGGGUUGUAAACUGCUUUUGUAUGGAACGAAAAGGCUCUGGCUAAUACCUGGGGCUCAUGACGGUACCGUAAGAAUAAGCACCGGCUAACUACGUG
rnacentral:rRNA from 1 species